GAUGAACGCUGGCGGCGUGCCUAAUACAUGCAAGUCGAGCGAACAGACGAGGAGCUUGCUCCUCUGACGUUAGCGGCGGACGGGUGAGUAACACGUGGAUAACCUACCUAUAAGACUGGGAUAACUUCGGGAAACCGGAGCUAAUACCGGAUAAUAUAUUGAACCGCAUGGUUCAAUAGUGAAAGACGGUUUUGCUGUCACUUAUAGAUGGAUCCGCGCCGCAUUAGCUAGUUGGUAAGGUAACGGCUUACCAAGGCAACGAUGCGUAGCCGACCUGAGAGGGUGGUCGGCCACCCUGGAACUGAGACACGGUCCAGACUCCUACGGGAGGCAGCAGUAGGGAAUCUUCCGCAAUGGGCGAAGGCCUGACGGAGCAACGCCGCGUAAGUGAUGAAGGUCUUCGGAUCGUAAAACUCUGUUAUUAGGGAAGAACAAAUGUGUAAUUAACUGUGCACGUCUUGACGGUACCUAAUCAGAAAGCCACGGCUAACUACGUG
rnacentral:rRNA from 1 species